rnacentral:rRNA from 1 species
GACGAACGCUGGCGGCGUGCUUAACACAUGCAAGUCGAACGGCAAGGCCCUGCUUUUUUGGUGUUCUCGAUUGCCGAACGGGUGCGUAACACGUGAGUAACCUGCUCUUGACUUUGGUAUAACUUCACGUAACUGGGGCUACUACCGUAUAGCAUCCCCUGCUCCAUUGUGAGCAUUGGAACUUUUCGGCUGUUGCGGUUGGAUUCGCGGCUUAUCAGCUUGUUGGUGGGGUAGUGGCUUACCAAGGCAUUGACGGAUAGCCGGCAUGAGAGGGGGACCGGCGACAAUGGGACUGAGAUACGGACCAGACUCGUAUGGGAGGCAGCAGGGGGGAAUAUGGCACAAUGGGCGGAAGCCUGAGGCAGAAACGCCGCGUGCGGGAUGACGGCCUUCGGGUUGUAAACCGCUGUCGCCUGAGACGAAGCGGGAGUGACGGUAAUGGGUAAAGAAGCACCGGCUAACUACGUG